UACGGGGGGGGCAAGCGUUGUUCGGAAUUACUGGGCGUAAAGGGCGCGUAGGCGGCCUGCUAAGUCGGAUGUGAAAUCCCUCGGCUCAACCGAGGAACUGCAUCCGAUACUGGCGGGCUUGAAUCCGGGAGAGGGAUGUGGAAUUCCAGGUGUAGCGGUGAAAUGCGUAGAUAUCAGGAGGAACACCGGUGGCGAAGGCGGAUCUCUGGGCCGUAACUGACGCUGAGGAGCGAAAGCGUGGGGAGCGAACAGG
rnacentral:rRNA from 1 species